GGCCCGGUGGCUCAGUUGGUUAGAGCAUUGUCCCAAUACAUCAAAGUUGCUGGUUCAAUCCCUGGUCAGGCCA
rnacentral:tRNA from 1 species